rnacentral:rRNA from 1 species
GAGUUUGAUUCUGGCUCAGGAUGAACGCUGGCGGCGUGCUUAACACAUGCAAGUCGAACGGACGAAUCUUAUCGGAGUUUUUCGGAACAAAGAAAAGAUAAGUUAGUGGCGGACGGGUGCGUAACGUGUGGGUAAUCUGCCUUUGUCAUGGGAAUAACUGCUUGAAAGAGCAGCUAAUACCGAAUAACAUAUGCAAUAGGCAUCUAUUGGAUAUCAAAGAGAAAUCGGACAAAGAUGAGCCCGCAUCUGAUUAGCUAGUUGGUAGGGUAACAGCCUACCAAGGCAACGAUCAGUAGCCGACCUGAGAGGGUGAACGGCCACAUUGGAACUGAGACACGGUCCAAACUCCUACGGGAGGCAGCAGUGGGGAAUAUUGCACAAUGGGGGGAACCCUGAUGCAGCAACGCCGCGUGAGUGAAGAAGGCUUUCGAGUCGUAAAACUCUGU